rnacentral:tRNA from 1 species
GGGGCAUUAGCUCAUCUGGUAGAGCGCUUCAAUGGCAUUGAAGAGGUAAGCGGUUCGAGUCCGCUAUGCUCCACCA